rnacentral:rRNA from 1 species
GACGAACGCUGCGGCGUGCCUAAUACAUGCAAGUAGAACGCUGAAGGAGGAGCUUACUUCUCUGGAUGAGUUGCGAACGGGUGAGUAACGCGUAGGUAACCUGCCUGGUAGCGGGGGAUAACUAUUGGAAACGAUAGCUAAUACCGCAUAAGAGUAGAUGUUGCAUGACAUUUACUUAAAAGGUGCAAUUGCAUCACUACCAGAUGGACCUGCGUUGUAUUAGCUAGUUGGUGGGGUAACGGCUCACCAAGGUGACGAUACAUAGCCGACCUGAGAGGGUGAUCGGCCACACUGGGACUGAGACACGGCCCAGACUCCUACGGGAGGCAGCAGUAGGGAAUCUUCGGCAAUGGACGGAAGUCUGACCGAGCAACGCCGCGUGAGUGAAGAAGGUUUUCGGAUCGUAAAGCUCUGUUGUAAGAGAAGAACGAGUGUGAGGGUGGAAAGUUCACACUGUGACGGUAUCUUACCAGAAAGGGACGGCUAACUACGUGC